AACGAACGCUAGCGGCAUGCCUAACACAUGCAAGUCGAACGAGACCUUCGGGUCUAGUGGCGCACGGGUGCGUAACGCGUGGGAAUCUGCCCUUGGGUUCGGAAUAACAGUUAGAAAUGACUGCUAAUACCGGAUAAUGACGUAAGUCCAAAGAUUUAUCGCCCAAGGAUGAGCCCGCGUAGGAUUAACUUGUUGGUGAGGUAAAGGCUCACCAAGGCGACGAUCCUUAGCUGGUCUGAGAGGAUGAUCAGCCACACUGGGACUGAGACACGGCCCAGACUCCUACGGGAGGCAGCAGUGGGGAAUAUUGGACAAUGGGCGAAAGCCUGAUCCAGCAAUGCCGCGUGAGUGAUGAAGGCCUUAGGGUUGUAAAGCUCUUUUACCCGGGAUGAUAAUGACAGUACCGGGAGAAUAAGCCCCGGCUAACUCCGUGCCAGCAGCCGCAGUAACAC
rnacentral:rRNA from 1 species